rnacentral:rRNA from 1 species
GAUGAACGCUGGCGGCGUGCUUAACACAUGCAAGUCGAACGGGUGAGAGCGGAAACCUAGUGAAGCUCUCACGAGUGGCGGACGGGUGAGUAACGCGUGGGCAACCUGCCGUAUACAGGGGGAUAACACUUAGAAAUAGGUGCUAAAACCGCAUAAGCGCACAAAGGCCGCAUGGCCCGGUGCGAAAAACUCCGGUGGUAUACGAUGGACCCGCGUCCGAUUAGCUAGUUGGCGGGAUAAGAGCCCACCAAGGCGACGAUCGGUAGCCGGCCUGAGAGGGUGACCGGCCACAUUGGGACUGAGACACGGCCCAA